AAUGUUUUUUUUUGGACUGCAGUAAACCAUGGAUACUGAUACCGUGGAUACGGGGGUCCAGCAGUACCCUCUGGCAUGUGCAUCAUCAACCCUGAACCCUGUCAAAACCAAACAACCCCUUUUGGGGAACGGGGGUCCUGGGGGCAGGGGAAUGGGGAGAGGAAAGCAUGGGCCCCGGAGCUUGGCUCCUGCCCUGUGCUGUUGGUCCCGGGUGAAUGCGUGCACUGCCUUCAGGCGGUCCUGCAGCUUCCUCACAUACUCCAGCCCAGGAGAUUCAGUCAUGCAGUUGGGGGGGCCAACCAAAGGCCAACUCAGCUGGGGUGUGGAGCUCUCUCCCCAACAUGAAGAGAGCGGGGUGCAGGAUGUGGAGUCCUGCCCUGAGGAGUGACAGGCCAUGAGCACUAGGGGCAGCUGUGUGUCCCAGUCACUCUGAUGCUCUGCCACAAGGACGGCAGCUGCUGUUCCAGGGUCUGUGUGAAACCUCUCCACCAGGCCGUCACUCUGAGGCUGCAGGACGGAGGUGUGGGUCUUGUGUAUGCGCAGCCGGCUGCAUUGGGAGACAAACACAGCAGACUCAGAAUUCCUCCCCUGGUCACUGUGUGGGACCCCUGAAUCUGAAACAUAAUAAUGUAAAUGCUUGGGAAACAUUAUACAUCCACCCUGUACAUUUUAUUGUGGUGGAACCCCUCCCUGGUAGGGGGCCCUCCUAUGUGUUACCUUGGCAUCCGAUGCAUCCAUUUUGCAGUGAUUACUGCUGCAGUGACUGUUGUAGUAUAUUUAUUUUGGACCAUUCCUGCUGACUGUGUGCAUUCAAGCUCACGUCGCUUCCGCUUCUGAUGCCAGCCAGUGUGUCCUGGCUUGGACCUGCCUUCACACCCUCAUCUGUAGGGUUAUUCACAGGCUGUGGUGCUGAUAGGUCACUUUGGGACAUUAUCUGUUCAACUCGGCACUACGGUUACUGCCAGUUGGGCAGAUUGUCAGGUUUUUCCUUCUACCGUUUAUAUUACACUGGAAAGUGUCCUGGUGACUCCCUAAAGUAAAGCAUUGCCACCGCAUCAGAUGGGCCUUGGAGGGAACAGUGCCCCCUUCUGGCUGCCCUAUGGACAGGGCACAGGACAGCAGCUUGGGCUACAGGGGUCACUGGUGUGGGAGGGUUUGGCACCCAGCUCCAGACAAGUCCCCCCUCCCUAACAGCCUGUCCCCCCUCCCAGCUGACCUCCUGGGUGCCGCCAAGGUGGCAAACCUGGUGAGAGCUGCCCCCCCAAACCAGCAGGGGCCCCAGACCACGUUCAGAUGGGACUCGAGGGAAAGGGCUUUGAGUGGCGCUUCAGAUAUCGAGCUUUUCCAGCCGCACAGAAACCGGUCUGAUUAUGAUGGAGAAACACAGCUGAGGUUUACAGGCCCAAGACCAGAAUGCACAGCAUAGAGAGCAUGAAGGCUGUUUUGGUGACUGUAACAAACAUACAGUGACCCCUGCUGAUGAGGUUGUUGUUCUGCCCCCCCCCACCACCUCUAGGGCCCCGUGACUGACCCGGCGAAGCCCAAGAUGACGGAGGAGCAGUUGAAAUUCCUCAAUGAAGUCUCUGAGUACCAUGACCAAACCAAGAAUAAGAUCCUGAAGCACAUAUGCCACUACAAGGACGGCAUGUCCUGCCAGAUGGUGAGCUGCUCUUGGUCAGAUGGGCUGAAUAAGAACUGCAAUGGAGGAGCAGCAAUAAGAAAACCCUUUUUCAGUUGUAUGAGACGCCAAGCUUCUAUGCCAGACCAG